GAAAAUGUAUCAGCUUAUUAUUAAAUAAUUAUGACGUUCUUUCCAAUACAAAAAGUGUAGUAACUAUUGUUUCCAAACUGCGUUACCCACUCCAGCCAGCAGCUGGCGAUGUACGUCUUUCAGGAGAUGCUUCUUGUGUGACGUAUAAUGGACUGGACGGGACGCUUCUUCAGGAACAACAACGUGGCUACUCUAUCAACCACCUCGGUGGCUUGCUAGCCAACAAAAAAGUGAAAGAUUAACGCUUUAGACCAUCUUAAUGUACAUGAUCUAAUAUCAGUGUUUUAAACACAGUUCUGUUGACGUAUUAACUGGUUAACUGUAACCUAAUUUGCAAACUUGUUAAAGAUUGAUGCUGAGCCUAGCACUAGGCUAGUCGCUAAUGCUAACUAGCUAGCUAACAUCCCUGACCAUGAGUUCAUUAAAGUACUCAUCCCCUGCUAUAGAAGAGGAGGUCUGCUGUUUGGAGAAAGAAGUUCUGGCGCUGAACAUUGAAGAAGAGGAGGAUGUUACAGUGAAAGAGAAAGAACCUUUUAGAAUGAAAAAGGAGGAAGAGGAGACUGUUAUAGUGAAGGAAGAAGAUGCUGUUAUAGUGAAAGAACAUUUCAGAAUGAAAAAGGAGGAAGAGGAGACUGUUAUAAUGAAGGAAGAAGAUGCUGUUAUAGUGAAAGAACAUUUCAGAAUGAAAAAGGAGGAAGAGGAGACUGUUAUAGUGAAGGAAGAAGAUGCUGUUAUAGUGAAAGAACAUUUCAGAAUGAAAAGGGAGGAAGAGGAGGCUGUUAUAGUGAAAGAAGAGAAAGAACCGUUUAGAGAGGAAGAGGAUGCUAUCUCAAUAAAGGUGAAGGAGGAAGACGUUUUGGGAGUGAAAGAGGAGACAGAAUAUCAGAUUAACACCAGAGAGAGACAUGACUAUGGUGGAUCCUCUGGGGAGCUUCAACAACAUCCUGAUGCUGACGAGGCAGAGAAGAGUCUCUCCAGAUCAGAACACCAGAUGGUACAGCUUGGUCUGGACAAGCAAACAGCUUUCUCUUGCUUGGGGGCUGGGUUUCUGUAAACCACUUUAUGACAACAGUGACAUCAGCAUCCAUAUGAUGUGCGUCUGUGUCCCCUCUUUAUGGUUACCAGGACAACACUAGCCCUUCCUCCCAUCCCGGAGUCCCUGUAUCGUGCCUCUCCUGGUAGCACCUUACUGCUGGGGUAUGAAGAGGUUGUCUGUGCUGCUGGUGGACUGCAGGAAAACAACGGGGCUGAGUGGAACUGUGAGAGGAGGAGAAGAGAAGAAAGGAUCAGAUUUGACACACCAAAGUAAGUGCUGUAGUUUAUUUGGAACAAAUACAAUAGAUCUGCCCACUGGUAUCUG
rnacentral:lncRNA from 1 species